UGCAGUUAACCAUAAGAGGGCAGUAGUUACUCAUUAUUUCCUUUGACAAUACUGAAGCUUUAUUGGGUAUCCACAAGCUCCUCCUUGGAUCAUCAUUAUUAUAAUACUAAAAGUAAAAUUCUCCCACUGCUGAUUUAUCUGAACUUCAAGGUUUAUUCAGCAGUCAUGUCACACAAGUUGAGGAAUAUAUUUCUCUUCACACUCUUCAUUCUUGAGUGCAGAUCAGAGGACACAGUUGAUCAGCCAGACAAACAUGUGACUGAAGCUGAAGGAAGAUCAGUGACAUUACAGUGUAAAUAUAAAACAGAUUCAGUAGGAGAAGAUUUAUUCUGGUACAUCCAGAGAGCAAAUGACUUUCCUAAAUACAUCCUGAGGAGAGACAAGUUUGGAGUUGGAGAAAAUGGCACUGAGUUCCAGGAGAGAUUUCACUCUGAACUUUCAUCAAAUUCAGUUCCUCUGAAGAUCAAGGAUCUGCGUGUGUCUGACUCUGCUGUGUAUUACUGUGCUCUGAGGCCCACAGUCACAGGAAACACAUCAGAUCUAUACAAAAACCUGUUACACAGAGACACGGACGAACACAGAUAGAAAGAAACAGGAACUGACAAUCACAGCAUUUUGUCAGAAAGUAACAGAAUCAAUGAAUAGGCUAAAUCACAGGUAAUAAAUCAAAAGGUAGAUACAGAUUUCUUUUCUUUUAAUUUUAAGGUGUGAAUUUGUGUGGCAAUGUGAAAGAUUUACAUUAUUCAAUUAGAGUUAUUAAAUCCCUAUAAACUGCCCUUUAAUACAACAAACUAUAAAACAUCUCAAAUUAUUGUCAUGUGCAAUAUACAGUAGUGGCAAAAAAUGAUAUCUGGAGACUAGGAUUUAAAUAUAUAUUUAAUGAUCCUACAAGUGUCAGGAUUAUGUUUUGUUCGUUGUGUUUUAUGUGAUCUGAUCUAGUUCUCUAGUGUUCACCUGUUGUUCUAUUAAUUAACUUAUAAGAUUAGUUUGAUUGAACAUUAAACUUGGUUAAGGUAUUUAUCUGAUGAAAUUAUUUGUUAAAGGGCAAACUACAGCCACAGGAUUGCAAAAAAUGACACAGAAAACAAACAUCUCACAGGAAAAACCAAACACUGUAGCUGUAGUUUGCUGUUACGUCUGAGGACAUAUUCAAUGUGUUCAUAAUUAUGUAUGUGUGUUGGGUGUGGUUUUGUUUGCUCUUUCUCUCUCUUUCUCUCUCUUUCUCAUCACGAGACCGGUGUUCCAGUCAGCUGUGUUCAAUCCGGUGAUGUGGGGGAUCAGAUGAUGAUAGGAAGGAGUAGGAAUUUAAGACAUGGUGGAUCUGUAGAGAAGAGAGAGAGACUUCCUUCUGCCAGGGCAAAUACUUCCUCCUUUUUCCCAGAUUUAUUUGUUGUUUG